GCUCUUCCGAACUGGAAUAGUAACUUUAUUCGGAAAGCUAGCAGACCAAGGAGAUGGGGGACUUAUGUCCUGGAGAUUCAUCUUGCCCAAGUCAGAAUUCAGGCUCCUUUUAAGCUAAAAAGGGGAGGGGGUGUGUUUGGCUGU